rnacentral:pre_miRNA from 1 species
UGUUAACCAUGAUGGUGAUGAUGAUGAUGAUGAUGAUGAUGAUGAUGAUGAUCAUCAUCAUCAUCAUCAUUAUCAUCAUCAUUGUCACCACCACCA